rnacentral:lncRNA from 1 species
AGGGUGGCCCCAGUUGACACUCACCAAGAAAACAGGACCACAGUCCUACAACCAUAUAGAUGAAUUCAGCUAACAACCAAAUGACUCUGGAAAUAAAUUCUUCUCUGGAGCCUCCAGAAGGGAACACAGCCCUGCUGACACCUUGGUUCCAGUCUUCCGAGACUUGAAGCAGAGAAACCAGUGGAGCCCACCAGAUUUCUAACCUACAGAAUCAGGUUAAUUGUAAGUCUGGGUGUGUCUUGUUACCAAGAUGGCAUGUGGAAACCAUUCAAGAAAUAUUUACCAUUCGAAUAAAGCUGGAAAGAAAAAGAAAAAAAGAGACGGAAAAGAGAAAAAAAAGAGAAAUAUUUACCACACAAGAAAUCAAGGUCUCCUACGAUGUUUUAUCCCUGAAGUCAGACUGGUGGUGUGGAAACGUGUGUCUCCCCACUCCCGUGACAUGUUUGAACAGGAGAACCGUGCUCAUCAGGGUCACUCUUUAGUCGCAAAAAAAGAGAAAAUAUUGACUUUCAUCCUCAUAUUUAGUUGGUGUAUCGAGAAUCACAGGACUUUCUGAUACCAGCGUCAAUGUGGUCAUCUAUCUGGAAGUGUUCCUCCCUCAUUCUCUUUCAACAAGGAUCUUUGGUAUUUGUUUAGCAGUGUGGCGAUAGAAAUCUUGAGGACAUACGGAAGAAAUGGUGAUAGUUUGCUUACAAAAACCAAAUGGAGAGAAUUAACUACGGAGAAAGCUCAAGAACUCUCCUCUUUUAAUUGACUCUCCCUUCUACAAGGAGGAAUUCUAUCCAAGGACAAAAUAAUGUAAGUUUGACAGGAGUGUCCUCUAAGGUAUCUAAUAUUCAUGAAUCUAGACCAGCUAAUAAAUUCUCUUUAUUGUGUAAGCUAGUUUGAAAUUGAUUCUAUCAACUAAUAAGUUCUCUCUAAUUCAAAAGGUUAGCGUGAAGAUCAUUUGAAUGAUAUAGUGAAAUUGCCCAGCACUGUGAUUACUUAAAAAAUAUUAUUUUCUUUUUUC